UGUGUAGGCGGUUCUUUAAGUUUGCUGUGAAAUCUCCCGGCUUAACCGGGAGGGUGCGGUGAAUACUGAGGGACUAGAGUACGGGAGAGGAAAGUGGAAUUCCUGGUGUAGCGGUGAAAUGCGUAGAUAUCAGGAGGAACACCGGUGGUGUAGACGGCUUUCUGGACCGACACUGACGCUGAGACACGAAAGCGUGGGUAGCAAAACA
rnacentral:rRNA from 1 species